ensembl:lncRNA
GAGCGACCUGUGCGUCAGAUGUGUGUAACCCAGGAAAAGGAGUCUUGUAGCUGUUACGAACGUGAAGCUGAGCUGAAUCCGACAGCCAUUCGCCAUUACAUGAACCCCUCUGGCUGGUUUGUUUGCCCUUUUGGUGCCCUGGAUCCUACUGGAUGAACUGCCUUGUGGAAGUCCUCAUCUGAUGACUCUGCUGGACCGUCCUGGCUAGUAGAUGGUCAUUACUACGGGUGGAUGCUUCUGCUUGCUGGAUGGUAUUAUUGGACACUACGCCAUUCCAACAGAGUGGUAGGAACAAUUCAAAGGGCCCCAACGAUGCACUUUACUUUUCCCUGAGCUCAGGUGGUUUUCUUUUGGCCAAAGGACCUUGAAGGAUAC